UUGCUCCUCUGCUUUCAUCUCUCUUUCAACCUUUUCACUCUCAAUUUUCCAAUCUUGAAACCUUCACACCACCAUGACCAAGAAGCAAAAGCUUCAAUCGCUGGCUUUGCAAAUCGCUAUCCAUUAUUGAGGACUUUCCAUUCCAAGCUCACAAACCGCACAUCCAUACAUGGCUCUCACUAACACUGCUCAGUAACAACAUCAACAUCACAUUGUGGCAUGGCCGUCACGCUUUCAACCCUUCUUCUCUCCUUCCUCGAACGCCUCCAACAAACAGCCUUCAAAACCUUUAUGAAAUCUGCAAUCCCUCAUCUCUUGCCAUGGCUACAACACCGAGUCGUGACGGUUCACGGAGCCACUGCGAGAUCCGAAAUCCCUUUACGAAAUCAUCGAGAUAGUGACAGUCAACUGAGUCUGGUGCGCGGACUCGCCGACGUGCUACUUUCGCGGUGCCGCCACAACCAUGAAGCCGAUCUUUGAUGGUCUAGGAGCCUUAUUGCAAACAAGGGGAUAAACAGGAGAAGAGGAAACUCUAAUCACAGAAACAGGGCCAAACAGAUUGAAGCUUUUGCUUUUUGGUGAUGGUGGUGUGAAGGUUUCAGAGAGGGAAAUUGAGAGUGAAAAGGUUGAAGGAGAGAUGGGAGCAGAGGGGCAAGCCGGAAAAGAAAAUAUACUGAAAAAACCUACUACUAAUACUAUAGUCGGUUAUUUUUUUUACUAUCAAACACAAAAAUUUCUUUAUCCACAGCCUGCGCCGUUUGGUUGAGUCACCAAAAUCACCAAAUUAUUCUAUUCUUUCAGAUUAAGAAUGUAUAUAGGACUACUCACAUAGUGUGUUUGGAGGAGAACGAGAGAAAUAAUAAUAAGAAGAUAUAUAAUAAAUUUAUGUUCA